rnacentral:rRNA from 1 species
UACGGGGGGGGCAAGCGUUGUUCGGAAUUACUGGGCGUAAAGGGCUCGUAGGCGGCCAACUAAGUCAGACGUGAAAUCCCUCGGCUUAACCUGGGAACUGCAUCCGAUACUGGAUGGCUUGAAUUCGGGAGAGGGAUGCAGAAUUCCAGGUGUAGCGGUGAAAUGCGUAGAGAUCAUGAGGAAGACCAGUGGCGAAGGCGGGUCUCUGGACAGUUCCUGACACUGAGGCACGAAGGCCAGGGGAGCAAACGGG